rnacentral:misc_RNA from 1 species
ACUGCGGUUGGUCUUAAAAAGUCUCCCUACUUUAGGGGAGUUUCUUUAUAAUGUCAUAGGUAGUUUUCUUAGGGAAACUCCUAUACUUAUACUUAUCACUUGUGCUAGUAAGUUUAAUACUACAUUAGGGGGUUACUAUAGGGUAUUCUUAGUCUAACUUAUAUAGGGUUAAUUACUUGUAUAAGGGUGAUUAGUUAUACCUUUCCCCUAAUGGAAACACCUAUUGAAUUGAAUGUCUUAACCUAUGUUUUCUAUUUGAAAAAGAUUAAUUACAACUUUUGACAACGGAUCUCUAGGCUCUCGCAACGAUGAAAAACGCAGCGAAAUGCGAUACGUAAUGGGAAUUGCAAAAUUCCGUGAAUCAUCCAAUCUUUGAACGCACAUUGCACCCUCUUUCGGGAGGGUAUGCUUGUUUGAGAAUCUAUAAUAUUUCUAUUUACCUUAAUAAGAUCAUUUUACUAUGAUCUUGUUAGGAAAAUGAUUUGAAGUUUCCUAUAAUUUAACUAUAGGCACUUUUUAAUAGAUGAUUCCCUUGAUCGCUUUGAACUUAGUGGAUUAAUGGGGACAAAUGUAAUUGAAUAACCCUUAGGUCUUACUUAUACCCAUUUCCCAUAAAACACUUUAGCCUACUACUAUCUAAUUAGGAUGAACCCCUANGUGAAAUUUAAGGUGAACCGACAUAAGGGUUGACUAUGAUUAGUUAAGGAAAGUCUAUAGUAACCCUAUAGUCUUUACUUACUAUGAUAACUUACCUGAAACAUGGUCUCAAAUCAAGUAGGAAUACCCGCCUGAACCUAAGCAUAUCAUAAAACGGAAGGAAAAAA